CAAAAUUCGUCCAAGCUUUGCACUUUUCUUAUGGAACUUUCUCGUAGGCCACGAAACGUUCGGGGUCGUGUGGGGUGUCAUUAGAAAGGUAAUUGCAUGUACUUCCGAGGCAAAUAGGGUCUUAUUGGGUUUAAAAUUCAUCCACACUGAGACAUGUGA